GUGACCAUGGCGGUGGCGGCAGCGGCGGCGCCGCGGCGGUGGCGGAGGCAGCGACAGCGGCGGCGAUGGCGGAGGGCGUGCGGAGCCGUCCAAGCGCACGGCCCUCGCUGGCUUCGUGGGUCGACUCCGGCCUCCGUGCCGACGGAGACCCGUCGCGGCAAGUUUAUCCCCUCCAUGUCUAGUGAUCUCAAUUGAUGUUGGCCUGUUUCUCCCUUAUCUCCGUCCACAGCAUUUCAUGAAUUGCUGGUAAUCUGUGGUGUCUCCAUCGGUGGAGGCAUAGGAGAAUCCGACGGAAGGUUGCAAGGUUAUCAGUGGUGGAGGCGUGGGAGAAUCCGACUGAAGGUUGCAAGAGUGUUGUUGGUGAUCCGAGAAAGUGAUUGCACGAUGGGAGCAGUGUCCUGUGGAGAACAAUUUGUGCAUUGCUAUGCAAUGCAAGAUGGGAACAGUGUCCUGUGGAGAACAAUUUGUGCAUUGUUAGAUGCAAUGCAAGGUAGAGAAUGCUGCGUCCAUGGACAUCAUCACGGUUCAAGGAGUCGUGGCAACAGUUUGCGGGCCACAGUGGAGACAUCAUGGCGACAAUUUUCAGUGAAACUCUUGUUUUCUCUCUUUGCUUCACAGUUGGAAAUUCGACCAUACACGCAUUUGGUUUGUUUAACACUAAUUUUGUUUUGCUUUCAUAAAUUCAUAUCCCUCUUAUAUAUCAUAUACCAGAAACCAUCGCAGGACGCGUUUCUUGUUGGAGCAAUGCAGAUACACGUCAGAGCAUGCAUCUAUAUCCAUUCAUGUACCAUAAUAUUGUUCGUGAUCUUAAGAGUACUGUCUGACUCACAGAAAUAUGCUUUUUCCCAUUAGGUACAACUGGUGUACACGCAUCAUACAUGGCACUCGAUUAAAAAAUUGACGGUUGGGAUAAAAUGUAGACAGCAUUGGAUUUUCGAAUACUUUACGUUGAACAUCAUUUCCUCAAUUCCUCUACAGGAGGUUUAGUCUUGUGGGUCUAGUCAGAUACUUCGGGAUUAAGACAUUGUGGUGAAGAGAUCGAUUAUAUUAGCAUACUUGUAAGACAACAAGUAUCAUCAGGAAAAAAAAAAUGUCCAUCUUAAAUAAGUUGAUUUUCUAUUUGAUUUGUAAGCAUGCCUGGGAGACGCGUUUCUUGUUGCAGCAAUGCACACAGUAUUUGCACUUCAGAAGCUACCAGCAAGCAUAGGCGGUUAGCCUAGUCAGUUCUGAUUCAGUUCUGAUUCAUCAUAGCGUAUAUCCAGUCAUGUACUGUCACCGCUGUACUGCCUGACUCAGAUACAUUAUACGUGUCA